AUCGGCAUAGUCUAACGGUUAAAACAAUUGGCUUUCAACCAAGAUUUCGGGGUUCAAUUCCCCGUGCCGAUA